AGUCCAUAUUUUGCUGAGUGUCCUGCAAUGAUGCAGGUUAUUAGUUAAUUUACUUUUGAUAGCAAAGAACAAAAUAUUUAAUGUAAAAGUUAUUUACCAGGUGAAUCAGCUCACACGUCACCAGUGUCACAGGGGCAGAGUCAGUAGCCUCCUUCAUGAUGUCAUGAUGUAAUCACAUACUUAUUUAAUUGUUAAUAUCUUAAAAAUUCUGAAAUGUUUAAUUUUUUUUUUUACCUUGAACAGUUCACUGAGCUUGCACUGUCACUGAGGUGGAAGCUGGAAUCAACAGCAGACACCUCACAUCUUGGUCUUUUCAGGGGUGUGGACGCUGCUCUGGGACUUUCUGGAAGAUGAAUUUCCGUCAUGGUCCCCGUGUCACAAGACACACUGAGGCUGUGAGCUCUAUUCUGGGUGGCUAUGUAAAAACAAAGAAGGAGCACAUUUAUAAAUGUUUAAAAGAGCAUAAAAUCACGUGUAACAAUAAUCUGUAAAACAAAUUAAAACUAGAAGGUGAUAAUAAAAUGUUUACAUAGACGAUUAUUCAAAAUAAUUCACCUUUGCUUCACGUCAGCCUGGACAAGUGCAUUCUUGCAGACUUCUAAAUCAGUCUGACAGCCAAUGUCUUGGGUAGAUUUAGCCUGAAAAAAAUAAUAGAAGCACAUUGUUGUUGGAGUUUAUAAAGUUAGAUAAAAUACAAAAGAAACUGUCCCAUAUAGGCGCUUUAUAACAUUCCUAGUGUGUGAUUGUUAUUAUAACGUAAAAAUCAGUCACAUAUGAUGUGGAGAGCCUGAAAUGCGACCUCCUGAACAGAAUUCCUCACGGAACCAGGUCACAAGCUGGAUUUCACGCUGUAAUGCUGUCUGUCAACUGGUGCUGUGUUAGUUCGAGUCACUGUUAGCAGAAUUACCGACUGACACAAAAACAACCCGAAUUUUCUCCGAGCCUGACAGUAAUAGUCAUGUGGACCAUAUCGUCGGCCAGGGCUUCGAGAUAUGUUCAGAUUCGCCGCUGAUUCUAACCUUACAUCCCGUUCCACAUUUUGUGAACUUGACAACUCAGCCCGAAGGCAGUGCAGACUGAUAUUAGCUAAAUGAAGUGAACCACGCCUCUCAAACUUUGCAUUUAGGUAGGGAAUUGUCUUUAGAAGAUGUUAAAAUUUUUAUUUAGCUUACUCACCUCAGACUGGAGCCCGCCAUGGUGGGGGAGCAGAGUCGGUGGGCUGCAUCUAAAUCGCGGAAGAGCCACGGUGGGCACAGCCUCCCUCUUCAACCGGAGACAUGCAGAACAACCCAGUUCAAACUCCAUCAUGUUGGCGAAGGGAUCACAGGUAAAAUGCUGGUUGCAAACUACAGCACCAGGCAGGAGCUGACUUUUCCAGACACCGAUUGUGCGCAAUCACUGGCGCCUAAUUUCUAAGUCCAGCGGAAAGUAGUGCAACCCCACAGGGCCACCGAACCCACAACACUACACCUUCUCACCAUACUAACACGAUAUGGAACACUAAACCCGAACUACUUUCCUAAUAACACUAACAGCUAAACACUAACUAAACUACAAUAUCCAACAGCCAAGCUAACACUAAAUAAGUAUGUAUAACACUAAAAGCUAUGCUAAAGAUUAGGAUAUGCUAAUGCUGAACUGCCGCUAACCAUCCUACACUCGCUUGCAAAUCCAACUCCCAACUCGCCACAACGCGUGGCCGAGACUCUCAAUGCUUUACAACUUUGACACAGAGCUGCUACGUAGUACUCUACUGGUUUACGUAGUAUCUUUCUCUUUAGCCAUUGGCUAAAGUGUAUUCAAAAUGAUUCAAACUCUAUGUUUUAAGCUGAAGGUGGCGCUAUACUGUGGUAUUUAGGCAGAAUUUUUAAAGAAAAUGCACCGAAAUGCUAAAAUAAUGAAUACACACAUUUAAAACACUAUUAGACACUCAUUUAUACAGUUCAUCAGAAAAAAAAUAAGUAAUUUAGACGUUACUUGCUCUUUAACUGAGAACAACAAUCCUCCACAAUAAACAUGCAUAAACACCUUAAAAUAGAGCUAAAUAACUGAAAACACGACUACCCACAAUGCAUCGUGGCCAGCAGUUGUUUAUUGUUCCUGAAAUCCACCAAAAUUGCUAGUUCAUGGUUGUUUUUUCCCAAUAAAUCCACAAAUCUUUAAAAAAAAUAUACAAGUCUGUUUAUCAGAAACACUUUCGGGUGGACGUAAAGAUGAAUGGAAUAAUAUAGAAACAUAAAAUAAUAAAUCAAUAUUUUAUUAGUUAUUAUUACUCAUUCAAGUUAAGUUGCUCUUUUUGGAUUAAUUUAAGUUAUUCUUACUUAAAAAAGAUAUAGUUCAGAUUAAUUAAAAUGUUUCAGUUCUAUGUAAUUAAAACAAGGAAUAACUCAACACAUUUAAGUUCUAAAAACAUUUUUUAUAUUAAGAGUUUCGUCUACUCAAUAUAUUUGAUUAUUUAGAAUUUUUGGGUUUACAGUGUAUGUGUAUAGGAGUGCAGGAGUGUGUGUGUGUGUGUGUGUGUGUGUGUGUGUGUGUGUGUGUGUGUGUGUGUGUGUGUGUGUGUGUGUGUGUGUGUGUGUGUGUGUGUGUGUGUGUGUGUGUGUGUGUGAAUAAGGAUUCGUGUGCAGCAGAGAAAGAAGAUAAAUCUUGAGAGAUAAUGAGAAUUUGGAUCGAAAAUAAUAAGCCAUAAAAGUUUAAGUCUGAAUUCACUAAUUGGGCUUAGCAGGAAAAGUCAGCCAGAUGAAAAUGAUUCACAGACCUGCUUUCCGUCACCAGAGAUGGCCAAAGGCUGUGGUAAGCCUGAGUCCCCAUGGGGUGAAGCCUUCAGGGACUGUAGGAAUUUUGGCCUCCGAGUUGGUCAACGGGUGUCUGUGAAUUGGAGAAUUAUGCGUUCCUCCACCGUGGCUUGACUUUAAGGUCCUCAACUCAGCUGCACCGAAACGUGGAAUUCAGAGCGCAAGUCCAGAUUCACAAACGGUGCUGAAUCAGGAGAACUGAUCCAAAUUGCUUUCAACUCUUAAUGCAUGAACUUGUCUUGAACACGUCAACUCAACUUCCGGUUGCGCGUGGGACGUCAAAACAAAACAAACGGAGUUGCUUCUAAGUUUUAUCGUAACUUUUGAGAGCUAAUUACUUUAAAGAGCCGGGUUCUGCUGGGCCAGAUGGAAAACAGCCCACAGGGCAAUGAGCUUAAGGCGACCUUUGUUCUUAAACUGCCGCCACAAGGUUCGGAUGGGUGCUUAUAUAACCUUUUGGGCAUGCCCACCUGUAUCUUACUCAAAAACCACUGGAGGGCACUGUGGCUCUUCCAAAUAAACUCUACCUUCUCCAAGAUGGAAAAAUCCAUGAUCACAAUUUAACACAGUUAUUCAUAUGAAACCUCAAAAAGUACUUUAGCAUCAAAGUAUUACUUUAAAUGGGAAAGAAUAAAAUCCAUGUCUUAAAACUGAACAGUUUUACCGUUAGCAUGAAUUUUAACUGGAGAAACACCAAAUGACAGAGGUUUAACAUAAAAGAAAACACAACACAAACAGUUUAAGUCUGUGGCUGAUAAGAUCUUAACUUAGAGCACCUUGAUUUCUAUUUUAAGGGUGAACAACCUAAAAACCUUCUUUGAUUAUAGAUAAACAGAAAAACACCAAGGCUUUGUUAAAAGCGAGAUCCUGGAAUCUUCCAGAAUGACCCUUGAGGAGUUUUACGAGCACCCGGCCUGGGAGGGAAGAGUCAGUUAUUGGCAGAUUGAGGUAAGACAGACCAAGUCCUGAUAAUGUCUGGCUUAACAAGUCACUUGGUAAAAUUUACGUUCCUGGGAGAAAAAUGUAGGAGUUAACCAGAAUGCCCAACUGCGGGCCAGUUUCAAAUUCCCCUCUUUAUUUCCUUCUGCGGAAUGUGGAAGAACCCUUUAUGCGACAAUGUUAUGGUUCUUUUCCGUGUAAAUCCAUACAAAGUUUAACCUGAGGGUAAAAAAUGUGGAUUACCGCUACACUUGUCUCUGUCAAUAGGUUCCAUUACCGGAACUUCAGGGUGUUGAACAAGAGAGUGGAGGGCUCCUCUGAUUGGAGGUAAUAUGUGCAGACACUGGGGUUCAUGAAGAAAUUACCUAAAACUCCUUUGUUGGCCAUGCAUUCUAAAGAUAAGUGUACAUUGCGGAUCACUGACACAGUAGCCACAUUUGUUUCCAUAGAAAAAGCCACAACAGUCACAGUAGUGUGAAAGUGCCUUGUUUGUUUGGCAAAUGAGCUGCAAUACCCACAUUUUGCCACAGGAUGCCAUCCUCACAUCUUUCUUACAUUAUGCACCUUUAAAAGCUGGGACAUGAACAUCCGGUCUACUUUGUGAUUCAGAUUAUGAGAUAGACUAGAGUUAAAUUCUGAAAUCAGCUGUUCCUGUCAUUUUAGACAGUGUCAUGCAGACCGUGACAGACAGAAGAAAAUGUGAACUUGUACCUAGACGGAAAAGUCAGCACAGAGAAAAUCAACUAAAACAACACAUUUUAUAUUUUGUUCUGCUGGAUUUUUGUUGGCAGCAGAACAGUUUUGGUUUCACAUCUGAUGUAAAAUAUUCAGCGAUGUGUUGGAAUUCUGACUGUCAAAUAUAAAAAAACUUUCAUUGCAUUUCAUUACUUAUGCAAAGCAUGCUAAUAUAAGUGGAGUAUAGAGCCUGCAACAUGAAAUGACAUUGUGUGUACCUCAUUAUUCUCACUUUCUUGCAGGAGAAACCUUGCAUCAGGGGAAUUAAUUUGCAGAACCAAAGGAAGGAAAGGAUGACACGGGACGUGUAGCUCGCCCACACAGACUCAGACUUUGCUCCUGACUGAGGUCCUGAAAUGAAGGAAGGAGUGUUUGACAGGAUGAGGAAGGGUAGAGAUGAGAUCCCGCCAUCCCAGCCAAGAUCUGUCAACACUGAUGAUAAGUCAGUAAUGGGAGGCUCAUUCAAGACAGAUAAAACCAGCAAGCCUUUCGAGAUCUUCUGCCUCAGUUUUCCACCGGCAGUAGUCCAACAGCCCCAGCUGAAUACUAAUUGCUGUUUAUCAGAGUCGUUGGCGUGCCAGAGGCCAAAAAGCACCACAAGUAGCCUGUUUGUCUUCUGCUCAGUCGGGCCAAAGGAACUACAGAACCACUCACUUGAACUGAAACUGAGCACUGUCAAAACAUACAACUGCAUAUUUUUGUGUUAUCUUUACCUCUGUGGUGGGGGUAACCCUAACCCUAACCAGAAGCGGAAAACACUGUAAAGAAAUCAGCUAUAAUGAGUCAUUGCAGCAGAGAAAACCAUAUAAUGGACUGGGAACACACAAGGAUCAUCACAACAGAACAACAAAAACUCAAAUGAUGGAUUAAAGAAGCAAUAGAGAUUAGGAGACACGGACCUACUGUAACACCAUGAACAGAAAUGAAGUAUACACUGAAUCACUUAUGGGACAUGGUCAUCAUCAAAGAGGGCGUGGGCAGUAGAGGGCGACAUUGUCCUCUACUGCUUGCUAACAAAACAGCAAGGAAGUGACAUCACCAGCACUCUGAGGAAGGCACCAGCGAGAGUGAAAGCUGUCAGUGAAAAAGGUAAAACAACAACCUUCUGUUAACUAUUAAGAACACCAAGUCUUUAACUUUGCCUUUUUAUUUUAUCUUUUGCUUCCCGGCCUGGGAUCUUGCAUGGAGUUUGCAUGUUCUCCCUGUGCAUGCGUGGGUUCUGUCCGAGUACUCUAGCUUCCUCCCACAGUCCAAAAACAUGACUGUUAGGUUGAUUGGUCUGUCUAAAUUGUACCUAGGUGUGAAUGUGUGUGUGUAUGAUUGCUUGUCCUGUGUGUCUCUGUGUUGCCCUGUGAUGGACUGGCACCUGGUGUACCCCGCCUGAUUGCCCGUUG